rnacentral:rRNA from 1 species
GACGAACGCUGGCGGCGUGCUUAACACAUGCAAGUCGAACGAGAGAAAUUCCUUCGGGAAGGACUCUAGCGGCGGACGGGUGAGUAACACGUGGGGAACCCGCAUCAUCGAGCGGUAUAGCCUGUCGAAAGGAAGAUUAAUACUGCAUAAGCUUGUAGUAUCGCAUGAUGCAGCAAUUAAAGGAGGAAUCCGCUAUGAGAUGGACCCGCGUCGCAUUAGCUAGUUGGUUAGGUAACGGGUCAGCAAGGCGACGAUGCGUAGCCGACCUGAGAGGGGGAUGGGCCACAUUGGAGCUGGGGCACGGCCCAGACUCCGCAGGGAGGCAGCAGUGGGGAAUAUUGCACAAUGGGGGAAACCCUGAUGCAGCAACGCCGCGUGAGUGAUGACGGUCUUCGGAUUGUAAAACUCUGUCUUCAGGGACGAUAAUGACGGUACCUGAGGAGGAAGCCACGGCUAACUACGUGCCAGCCGCCGCGGUAA